CGAGUUUGAUCCUGGCUCAGAACGAACGCUGGCGGCAGGCCUAACACAUGCAAGUCGAGCGCCCCGCAAGGGGAGCGGCGCACGGGUGAGUAACGCGUGGGAAUAUGCCCUGGGGCUGGGGAUAACGGCGGGAAACUGCCGCUAAUACCCGGUACGCCAUGAGUGGGAAAGGAGCAAUCCGCCCUGGGAGUAGCCCGCGUUGGAUUAGCUAGUUGGUGUGGUAAGAGCGCACCAAGGCGACGAUCCAUAGCUGGUCUGAGAGGAUGAUCAGCCACACUGGGACUGAGACACGGCCCAGACUCCUACGGGAGGCAGCAGUGGGGAAUAUUGGACAAUGGGGGCAACCCUGAUCCAGCCAUGCCGCGUGAGUGAAGAAGGCCCUAGGGUUGUAAAGCUCUUUCGCACGCGACGAUGAUGACGGUAGCGUGAGAAGAAGCCCCGGCUAACUUCGUG
rnacentral:rRNA from 1 species